AUCUUUACAAGUACAUUUUCAGUGAACAUUCUUAACUAUUUGAUGUUCAAGAAUUUAAUAAACAAAAUGCAUUUUUUUCCCAUGAUCUCCGUUACCUCUUAUCUCUCUAUUGGUUCUUAGUUUUAAACUCAGAUUUGUCAUACUACAAAACAUCAUUAAUACCGCAAAAAUUCAUAUUAUAUGAAUGUCUACUGUACAUAUGGUCUGGUGGUCUGACUUCCAAGUAGCCUUUUGCUGUUUACUAAAGCCAGGGUCCUUUCUCUGAGUACAUUUACUGUAGAUUUUGACUGAUACAGACAACAUGGCUGAGAGAUAAGACAAACCUGGUGCAAUAAACCUGUGCUGGCUGAAAAGUAGCAAUGGCAUUUUGAAAUGUACAGUUGAAGUCGGAAGUUUACAUACACCUUAGCCAAAUACAUCUAAACUCAGUUUUUCACAAUUCCUGACAUUUAAUCAUAGUAAAAGUUCCCGGUCUUAGGAUCACCACUUUAUUUUAAGAAUGUGAAAUGUCAUAAUAAUAGUAGAGAGAAUGAUUUAUUUCAGCUUAUAUUUCUUUCAUCACAUUCCCAGUGGAUCAGAAGUUUACAUACACUCAAUUAGUAUUUGGUAGCAUUGCCUUUAAAUUGUUAAACUUGGGUCAAACAUUUUUUCACACGCUUUUUCAGUUCUGCCCACACAUUUUCUAUAGGAUUGAGGUCAGGGCUUUGUGAUGGCCAGUCUAAUACCUUGACUUUGUUGUCCUUAAACCAUUUUGUCACAACUUUGUAAGUAUGCUUGGGGUCAUUGUUCAUUUGGAAGAGCAAUUUGCGACCAAGCUUUAGCUUCCUGACUGAUGUCUUGAGAUGGUCAGUAUAUCCACAUCAUUUUCCAUCCUCGUGAUGCCAUCUAUUUUGUGAAGUGCACCAGGCCCUCCUGCAGCAAAGCACAACAUGAUACUGCCACCCCCGUGCUUCACGGUUGGGAUGGAGUUCUUCGCCUUUUUCCUCCAAACAUAAUGAUGGUUAUUAUGGCCAAACAGUUUUAUUUUUGUUUCAUCAGACCAGAGGACAUUUCUACAAAAAGUACGAUCUUUGUCCCCAUGUGCAGUUUCAAACCGUAGUCUGUUUUUUUUUAUGGCAGUUUUGGAGCAGUGGCUUCUUCCUUGCUGAGCUGCAUUUCAGGUUAUGUCAACAUAGAACUAGUUUUACUGUGAAUAUAGAUACUUUUGUACCUGUUUCGUCCAGCAUCUUCACAAGGUCAUUUGCUGUUGUUCUGGGAUUGAUUUUCACUUUUCGCACCAAAGUACGCUCAUCUCUAGGAGACAGAAUGCGUCUCCUUCCUGAACGGUAUGACGGCUGCGUUGUCCCAUGAUGUUUAUACUUGCGUACUAUUGUUGGUACAGAUGAACGUGGUACCUUCAGGCGUUUGGAAAUUGCUCCAAAGGAUGAACCAGACUUGUGGAGGUCAGCUAUUUAUUUUCUGAGUUUUUGGCUAACUUCUCUUGAUUUUCCCAUGAUGUCAAGCAAAGAGUUUGAAGGUAGGCCUUGAAAUACAUCCACAGGUACACCUCCAAUUGACUCAAAUUAUGUCAAUAAGCCUAUCAGAAGCUUCUAAAGCCAUGACAUCAUUUUCUGGAAUUUUCCAAGCUGUUUAAAUGCACAGUCAACUUAGUGUAUUUUAACUUCUGACCCACUGGAAUUGUGACACAGUGAACUAUAAGUGAAAUAAUCUGUCUGGAAACAAUUGUUGGAAAAAUUACUUGUGUCUUGCACAAAGUAGAUGUCCUAACCGACUUGCCAAAACUACAGUUUGUUAACAGGAAAUUUGUGGAGUGGUUGACAAACGAGUUUUAAUGACUCCAACCUAAGUGUAUGUAAACUUCUGACUUCAACUUUGUAACAAAAAGAGAUUCAGGUUUGUACUUGCAAUGUGCGUAAAAGCUCAGUAUUAAGAGUUGUUAGAUGUUUUUUUGUCCGAAUUUCGUCUUGAUAUCAGUGCACUGUAGCUAAUCAUUAUCCCAGGUAAAGGGAAAUGUAGCUGUUUCUUAUCUCACAGCACACACAUUGACCAGCAAACAGACUCUGAUGUUAAACGUGGGUUGACUUUCACUUUAUUCUCUUUCUCUGUAGCUUGGUUUCGUGAACUUACUGGACUACCCAGAACCGGACGUGUGCCUAAGGACGUCCAAAUUCAAUAAAAUCUAACAGAAAACAUGACCAUUGGCUGGACAAUCCUGGACUUUGACAGACUGGCAGUUUAAGAAAAGACAUGGGGCAUAUGAAGAUUGGCGGGACUGGUCCAGGUUGGCUUUCUUUGCCACUGUUCUGUGAGUGCUACGUGCGCUACAAACCAGGCUGCCUGUGCCAGCAGCCGCUGAGAGGGAGCCAUCCGCCGUCACGCUGUGAGAUAUGACCUAAAGAAGGCAUUAGUUCAGCACCAUGGCAUUUUGCUUCAAAUGGAGAGGCGAAGAUAACAGGGAAUGUCUCUGACAUAACUACAUGACGAGGAAAUCAACAAUAUCCCCUGGCACACGACAGCCAUACAUAAAUUAGAAUCCCAAUCUAAUUCACUGUCUAUGGCAUACACACAAUACUGAACUUGCAGAGAUCUUCAUGUGGACUUGUAUCCUAAAUGAAUGCAUCAAAGAGAAGGCUGCUUGCAGAAUUGUCAUGUUCAACUCAAUUAUAAUUACAGCUUUUUUGGAGAAUGGCAUGAGAAAUAAUUAGCCUAGUGUUUACAGGCAGAAGAGCGGCAGGCAGAUCCAAAAUGUAUUCAGACACCUCCCUGAUGGGGCUCCCGCUCCUUUAUAAGUUAGCCAGUUCAGAUUGUAAAUGUCUGUGAGAAAUCCAAUUCUGUGACCUUACAAAAUCAUCGUGGGGGACAGCGGGAGAGAAUAAUUGAUUGCUAGAUUUUGGUUGAUCAUUUCCCAAACCUUGGAUUUAGCACUCAGGGAAUUGAGAGGUGAGGCAUAAGACACAUUGCAGUAAAUAAUGCUUUUCCCCGGUGCAAGGGGUGGGUCAAGCUGUGAUGUUUCAUUUAUUAUAGUUUCCCUCUCAAAAUGUUAUAGAAAAUCUAUUUUCCAAUAUAAUGUUGAAGGAUAACUGAAGAGACAUGGUUUCAUGAUUCUAAUAUCAGUUCUGUGGUCAAUACGAUCUGACUCUCAAUGUAGACCGUCACUAGUUGAUUUAGGUACUGUAACAGUGACUGUCCGUCAUCUCACAAAGGUUCCUCAUUCAUGAUGUGCAGCAGCAAAACUAUAGGUGAUAGAGAACUUUCUUUCUUUUUUAAACGGUUUUCAUUGCCGCCUAAGAGCAACAAAGGCAAAACAAUGGACAAGCCUUGAGACAUGAAAUUUGAGAGACAAAAUCACGUACAGUAAUUUUCCUAAAAGGUAGGCUAUUGUCCUCCCGUUCUAAAAGGCACAAAUUCCAUAUCUGUUAUCCUGUCUAAUUUGAAAUAAACCGUUUACACAGUGUAAAUAUUUUUGUUGAGAGCCUCUCAUUCUUUGAGGUUUUUCUUUAAACGGAAAGUGUCACAUAAACAGUGUCUCUCAGUAAGUAACCAUACAGCAUGCUAGGAUGGAGACGGAGACCGGGCUAACUGAUAAUUCCAGCAGGCAGCAGAACAUAUCUACACUAGCUGCUUGUUUUCUUUUUUGCUCAUCAUUUGAGAUCUCCAUUGUGUUAAUUAGCCCACAUUUAAUCAUGUCAUUUGAGUGUGAUUACAUGGAAGUUCGACGCUUCAGAGGCGUAUGCUCAUUUCAGAUCUCGGCUGAUAUUUAUAAUCCUCACGUCCUCUUUUAUGAGAGAGAUGCCUUCAAUUUAACAGAUGGCCAAAUAAAUACUGUACCAUUCCCAUCCAUUUCAGUGGAAUGGUUUCCCUUUCUCACAUACUAUAGGUGUGCAUGGCAUGUGCAGUACCAGUUAAAAGUUUGGACACACCUAUUCAUUAAACAGGUUUUCUUUAUUUUUCUACUAUUUCCUACAUUGUACAAUAAUAGUGAAGACAUCAAUACUAUGAAAUAACACAUGAAUCAUGUAGUAACCAAAAAAUAAGAAUGGCGCCUGAGAGGAUGACUGCGUUUUUAUUGGCUCUUAACCAACCGUGCUAUUUUGUUUGUUUUUAAGCAUUUCAACUCGAAGGUGUAGACCUGUUGUAAGCGGCGCAUGUGACAAAUAAAAUUCAUUAGAUUUGAUUUGAAAAGUGUUAAACAAAUCAAAAUUGAUUUUAGAUUUUAGAUUCUUCAAAGCAGCCACCCUUUGUCUUGAUGACAGCUUUGCACACGCUUGGCAUUCUCUCGACCAGCUUAAUGAGGAAUUAUUUUCCAACAGUCUUGAAGAAGUUCCCACAUAUGCUGAGCACUUGUUGUCGGCUUUUCCUUCACUCUGCAGUCCAAGUCAUCCCAAACCGUCUAAAUUGGGUUGAGGUUGGGUGAUUGUGGAGGCCAGGUCAUCUGAUGCCCUUACACAGCCCGGAGGUCUGUUUUGGGUCAUUGUCCUGUUGAAAAACUGAUGAUAGUCCCACUAAGCGCAAACCAGAUGGGAUGGCGUAUCUUUGCAGAAUUCUGUGGUCGCCAUGCUGGUUAAGUGUGCAUUGAAUUUUAAAUAAAUCACCGACAGUGUCACCAGCAAAGCACCCCAAACCAUCACUCCUCCUCCUCCAUGCUUCACGGUGGGAACCACGCAGGCAGAGAUCAUCACCGACUCUGCGUAUCACAAAUACAUGGCGGUUGGAAUCAAAAAUCUCACAUUUGGACUCAUCAGACCAAAGGACAGAUUUCCACUGUUCUAAUGUCCAUUGCUUGUGUUUCUUGGCCCAAGCAAGUCUCUUCUUCUUAUUGGUGUCCUUUAGUAGUGGUUUCUUUGCAGCAAUUUGUACCAUGAAGGCCUGAUUCACGCAGUCUCCUCUGAACAGUUGAUGUUGAGACGUGUCUAUUACUUGAACUCUGUGAAGCAUUUAUUUGGGCUACAAUCUGAGAUGCAGUUAAGUUUAAUAAACUAAUGCUCUGCAGCAGAGGUAACCCUGGGUCUUCCUUUCCUGUGGCGGACUACAUGAGAGCCAGUUUCAUCAUAGCACUUGAUGGGUUUUGCGACUGCACUUUCAAAGUUCUUGACAUUUUACGGAUUGACUUACCUUCAUGUUUUAAAUUGUAAUGAUGGACUGUCGUUUCUCUUUGCUCACUUGAGCUGUUCUUGCCAUAUGGUAUUUUACCAAAUAGGGCUAUCAUCUGUAUACCACCCCUACCUUGUCACAACACAACUAAUUGGCUCAAACGCAUUAAGGAAAGAAAUUCCACAAAUUAACUUUUAACAAGGCACACCUGUUAAUUGAAAUGCAUUCCAGGUGACUACCUCAUGAAGCUGGUUGAGAGAAUGCCAUGAGUGUGAAAAAAUGUCAUCAAGGCAAAGGGUUUGAAGAAUCACAAAUAUAAGAUAUAUUUUGAUUUGUUUAAAACUUUUUUUUACGACAUGAUUCCAUGUGUUACUUCCUAGUUUUGAUGUCUUCACUAUUAUUAUACAAUAUAGAAAAUUUUUUUUUUUUUAAAGGAAAUCCCUUAAAUCAGUAGGUGUCUCCAAAGGUUUCACUGGUUCUUAUAUUGUACUGUGAAAUAUAUGCAUUUUAUUAGAUUUGAAAUGAUGAUUAAAUUAUAUAUUACCCCUUUUGAUUAGCUGAUGAAAUCUGAUUAGCUAUUUUGAUUAUGAAGUUAAUCAGAGAAGCAGCUCAGCGCUUAUUCCUGUAUUCCCAUAUCCGCAGAUCUUAGAAUGAGCAAUAAGUGUGUCUCUUACCGACAGCCUUGAGGGAGGCGUACUUAUUGAGCUCUUUCCCAGGUUGCUGUUGCUCAUAGGGGCUAGGGAUCUGUCC